UACGGAGGAUCCAAGCGUUAUCCGGAUUUAUUGGGUUUAAAGGGUGCGUAGGCGGAUUGAUAAGUUAGAGGUGAAAUGUCCGAGCUCAACUCGGGAACUGCCUCUAAUACUGUUGAUCUAGAGAGUAGAUGCGAUAGGCGGAAUGUAUGGUGUAGCGGUGAAAUGCUUAGAGAUCAUACAGAACACCGAUUGCGAAGGCAGCUUACCAAUCUAUAUCUGACGUUGAGGCACGAAAGCGUGGGGAGCAAACAGG
rnacentral:rRNA from 1 species